CCCUUAGAUGUCCUGGGCCGCACGCGCGUUACACUGAUGCAUUCAACGAGCUUAUAACCUUGGCCGAGAGGCCUGGGCAAUCUUGUUAACGUGCAUCGUGAUAGGGAUAGAUUAUUGAAAUUAUUAAUCUUGAACGAGGAAUUCCUAGUAAACGCAGAUCAUCAAUCUGCAUUGAUUACGUCCCUCCCCUUUGUACACACCGCCCGUCGCACCUACCGAUUGGAUGGUCCGGUGAAGCCUCGGGAUUGUGGUUCUUGCCGCUUUAUUGUGGCGUGACCGCGAGAACUUGUCUAAACCUUAUCAUCUAGAGGAAGGUGAAGUCGUAACA
rnacentral:rRNA from 1 species